rnacentral:misc_RNA from 1 species
UUAGCCAGGGAAUAAUGAAAUAGGGACGUUUGAUUCUUAUUUUGUUGGUUUUUAGGAUUGACGUAAUGAUUAAUAGGGAUAGUGGGGGGCAUUAGUAUUCAAUUGUCAGAGGUGAAAUUCUUGGAUUUAUUGAAGACUAACUACUGCGYAAGCAUUUCCCAAGGAUGUUUUCAUUAAUCAAGAACGAAAGUUAGGGGAUCGAAGACGCYCAGAACCCGUGGUAUUCUUAACCAUAAACUAUGCCGAUUAGGAUCUGGA